ensembl:snRNA U2 U2 spliceosomal RNA
AUCACUUCUCGGCCUUUUGGCUAAGAUCAAAUGUAGUAUCUGUUCUUUACAGUUUAAUAUCUGAUACAUCCUCUAUCCGAGGAUCCUAUAUUAAAUGGAUUCUUGGAACAGGGAGUUGGAAUAGGAGCUUGCUCCGUCCACUCCUCACAUUGACCUGGUAUUGCAGUACUUCCAGGAACGGUGCACUCUCU